rnacentral:lncRNA from 1 species
AAAUAUAUUCUCUUUCUUUCCCUAUUAUGUUCUUAUAUUUUUCUUAUACAGACCCUCUCAACUGGUUUUUCAAAGAAUUGAAUCUAAUGCCUUAUCUGUUGUAUGUAGUGAAUUAACUUUCUUGUGCAUCUAGAGUGGUUCUAGCUGUGUACCAUUCUUGGGAGAAUUAGGAAAUUAAUCCCUCAUAUAACUUUCUAUAGGGCUUAAUUCUCUCACAGAACCCUGGUUGAGAAAGGCUGCUUGGAAUAUUUGAACCUUGUUAUUGUAAUAGAUGUUUUAAUAUCCUUGUCCACUAAUCAUUUCUGUAAUUUUUUGGAUCUGUUUCUAUUGACUGAUUUUUCUCUAGUCGUGGGUCUCAUUUUUCUACUUCAUAGCAUUGUCUAGUAAGUUUUUAUGUUGUUGAGUGCCUAGAUUUUGUCACCUUCAUGUAAAGAUUGUUGGGCUUUGAUCUGGUAGGUAGUUAAUUUACUUGCAGUUCAGUUUGAUCCUUUUAAGGCUUGUCUUUAAACUUCAUGUAGUCUCAAGUAGCUUUUUUUUCUUAGGGUAGUUUGGCUCCACUACUAAGAUGUGGCCCUUUUGGGGUCUCUACUGAAAUUCCCUGUGUGAUCAGUGAGGAGUCUUCAAUUUGGCUCAUGGGGACUCAGGUAAUUUUCAGCCCCAUAUGAGCUCUGGGGAGCCAUUCUGUUCACAGCUCCUGGGUCAUUCUUUCCCUAGCCUCCUGAAGUUCAGCCUAUGCAUGUGUAUGUCGUAAAAUUCAGCCAAGACUUGUUGACCCUCUGCAUAUUUUUGGAGAUCUUUUUCUAUGUAGCGCUCUCUCUCCUCCAGAACUUUGUGGCUGCAGCUUCCAGCUGCUUCAGAGUCCCUGAUCUCUAGUGUCUGUCUUUUUAGUUCAGGGAAACAUUUGUGCCCUGCUUGGAAUCUCCAUCCCCUCUGCAAUCUGGAAUGUGCCUCUAGGCAGAAAGCCAGGGCAAUCUUAAGGCCUAGUUUAUUUGUUUCUAUUCCAUCCGGGAUUGUAAUCGUGCUGCCUGGUGUACACUGUUUGAAAACAGUUUUCACAUUUUUACUGCAGUUUCUUGAUUGUCUAAGGUAGGGGCGUAAAUCCAGUUCAUGCUACUCCAUGACCGGAAGCUGAGGUCUCUCUCAUUUGAUGUCUAUCAAAUAAUCAGAGGUGCCUUGUAGCCCUCAGUCUGUAACUUGGAAUCUUUUCUCACAAAGAAUGGCUAGUCUCAUAGCAUGAAUCGUCUUUGCCUGUGUAGCCAUUUUUCUCCUCUCUAGCCGAUGGGAUUGGCAAACUUUGCCUGAAGAGGUCCAGUUAGUAAAUAUCAUCUUGGGCUUUGUGGGCCAUGUGGUCUUUGUCCCACUCAACUCUGCCAUUGUAGCACCCAAGCAGCUGUAAACAACCUAGAAAUGAAGGAGGGUGGCGGUGUUUCAAUGAAACCUUAUUUGUGGAGUCUGCAAUUUGUACUUCAUAUCAUUUUCAUAUGUCAUGAAAUAUUAAAUCUUUUGAAUUUUUUCAGAAAUGUAUUUAAAAUUGUAAAAACCUUCCUAUAUAAAAACAGAUGGCAGAUUGGUUAUGAUCUGUGGGCCGCGGUUUGCCAAUCCUGCUCUCUAGCACAUUUAGCAUUUGAGGUUACACUCCCAACUUUAGAAUCUCUUAUGUAUGUGGAAAUUCUUUCAAGUAGGAUUUCUUGAAUUCAUAGUUAUGAGUUUCUGUCUUAGGAUUUUUCUCCCUAUAUUAUUUAUUUAGAACUUUACAAUGUUUCAGAGUUGGACAUUAUGCCCUAUUGACAUACCUCCUACAUUGAUGAUUCUCUACAUUUGGGGCUUCAGAGUUUCAUAAUAUAAAUUCGUCCCCUACUUGAUCCUUUGACCAUUAAAAUUCAGUGUAAAAAGUUGUAUAUACUUAAGGUCUAGCCUGCGUUCCCCUCUUUUCAUCACCACUUGUUUAACUUAUUUCUUUCCCAUUCCUAUAUGUAGUGAUUCCAUUGAACAGAAAACUGACAGGUAAAUAAAAGGAGAUGAUAAAAUGAUCACUUUCAGUAUUGCUCAGUCACUUAAGGGUCCUUAACCAGUGACUGCUUUUAAAGUUUCAAAGUACUUUUUAGAAAAAAGGCAUUUUAAUUUGAACAGAUUUCUUUGUGCAAGACUUUAUUAGGUGCCCUGGGGAAGUGGAUAGAUUUCCUUCCUACAAAUUACUCAGUAUCUAGUAGAAGAAGAUGAAGUGUGACAAAAACAAAUGAUGAGACUGUAGAGUUAAGGUAGUGUGUGAGGAGCAUGCAUGCAGAAAGUUGUCAGGUCCAGGAGAAGUGAUGGUAUGUAUUCCUCCUGGAAAAUCUAAGGAGGCUUAGCUUCUUAAUUAGAAGUGAUGUUUUCACUGGAGCUUGACAGAAUGGUAGGCUUUGAUGUGGGAAGAGAGAAGAAAAGUGAGGUGGGGAAAAGCCUGGGCAGAAGUACAGAGCUGGCAGCAUGAAGGGUGCAUUCUGGGAUUGGAAGCUUAAUCUAAAAGGAUUUUAAGGAGUUCCCAUCGUGGAGCAGUGGUUAACGAAUCCGACUAGGAACCAUGAGGUUGCGGGUUCGAUCCCUGGCCUCGCUCAGUGGGUUGAGGAUCCGGCGUUGCUGUGAGCUGUGGUGUAUGUAGGUUGCAGACACGGCUCAGAUCCUGCGUUGCUGUGGCUCUGGUGUAGGCCGGUGGCUACAACUCCUAUUUGUUUGACCCCUAGCCUGGGAAACUCUGUAUGCCGCGGGAGCGGCCCAAGAAAUGGCAAGAAGGACCCCCCCCAAAAUAAAUAAAUAAAUAAAAUAAAAGGAUUUUAGGUGCAGUGGGGAAGAACAUGACUGGGCUUGGGUUGUGGAGGGCUUUAAUAUUAUGACCCUUCUGUAUAUACUGGGAAACUGCUGGGAAUUCUGAACAAGAAAUGCCUGAAUCAAAUCUAGCAGAGCGGUGACAGAGCCGUGUGGAUUUAAGGAAAGGUGGCCAGAUGAGAGGUUAUCUGAAUCACUGAAUCAGUUCUCUUUCCAUUUGUUCUGCCACUUUUAUCUAAGCCCCUCUGAUCUCACACCCACAUUAUUAUUAUAAUGGCCUUGGAAGUAGUCUUUAUUUGCAUUUUGCCCCCACAAAGAUGUUCUUUCAGUGUAGCCAAAGGGGUCUUUUUUAGGCCAUAAAUUAAAUGUUACACUGUUGCUUAAAAUCUGUCCUCAUCUCAGUGCCCUUGGACUAACAUCUGAAUCCCUUACCAGGGUGUACAAGGAAACUUUUUGCAGGAUCUGUCCUCUUUCUGCCUCUCACUUACAUUCAAGCUGACUUGCUUUCUCACACCCUAGAACUUGCUGAAUGUUUUCCAAAUCACUUGCUUUACUGUUGUAAUUACCGGUUUCACCCAUUUGCUUCUUGGCUUAGAUGCCACCUCAGAGAGCCCCCCUAGGACCACCCCAUCGUAAUACCUCACUGCCCUGUAUUUGCUUCAUGACAGUUACCCAUCUGUGAUUUUGUCUUGUCUGACCUCUACCUUAAUGUCAUAAGCUCCCCGAGGGCAGAACUGUGUCUGUUGGGUUUCCUGCUUUACCUGUAUUACCUGGCAUGGGCAGAAAAUCAUUUGAUGAAUGCAUAAGGAGCACAGGCAGCCUUAUAGUAAUAGAAAUAAAAUAUAUGGUGAUCGUGGCACUUACGUACAGGGUUAGCCCAGGAGGCACUGGUGAAUGGGGCUUGGAGCUCAAAAGAAGAGACUGGAUUAAAAGUGCAGAUUUGAAAUUGGUCUGUUUUGAGCUAAUGAUAGAAGGGGGGUGGGGGUUGAGGUAGAAAGUGCUUUUGAGAGAAGGUCCAGGGUUUUAAACUUUGGGGGGAAGUUGAAAGAUUAAAAGGCAGGAAAAAGACAAGAGAAAAGCAGCCCAUAGUUGGUGGUGAAGAGCUUUGAGUGCUGUGCAAAGAUUGGGGAGUAAGGGGCAGCGGUGCUUGUUUCGAGGUUGCUGAUGAGUUUGGGAGGUUUGAUUCAGUCAUAUGCUAGUGGCCACCAGAUUAUAGUGGGUUGUGGUGUGAUUGGAGGGCAAGGAAGUGGAGGAGGUAUGUUUGGGCUACUACUUAGAGAAAUUCCAUGGCACAAUCAGAGGGUGAUGGGGCAGUUGUCUUUCACGAUCAGGUAGGAUGUUAGAGGAAUAAGAAAAAGAGCCAGUGCAGGGCGCUCAGACUAGGUAUGUAGGAUACAAGUGUGGAAGAAGAUGUUACCGUUUAGGUGCAUAAGCAUUUGAGAGAUUCAAAAACAUAUGGCUUGCAGGUGACAUCCCUUUUUGACCAGUGUGUGACAGUUGCUUAGUGCAGUGCUUCUCAGACUGAGACGAAGAGCCAGUUAAAAAAAUUUUUGCAUCUUCACUAUCAUGGAAUGAUAGAGUUAACUGUAAAAGGUUUUGAACGUUUUAAAUUUCUGUCUCUCAUCUUAGGAGGGUAAUGUGGAUGUGCUCAGGCUACACAUCUCUCUUUGUGUGGCACUAAUUAGCGGAUGAGGGAGCCGGCGAUCUAGGUAUUUUUCACAAGUGGUCCUUCUGACUUUCUAGAUGGGCUAGUCACUUCCAGGUUAAGCUCCCGCAGUAGGAGUUGCAUGCUAACACUAGGGGGAAAGAUAAAAGGUUCUGCUCCAAGACUAUUGAAAAGAAGUCAGUGGUCUUGAAUAAGAUGUUGGCCCCUUUCCCUCCCGCUAAUACUUAGCAUUUUUUGAAGUAAAGGAAAACUGUGUAAACACGUAACAGUUAAACCAUGAGAAUUAUUACCUUAAAUAUGAGUGCUAUUAAAAUAGGAGAAUUUCUGCCUGUCAUUUCAAAAGCCAGGAAGUAGUUAAGGACAUAUUCUGAGUUUUAUGAAGAAUUUAGAGCAAUAUGAGAAAAUGAUAAUGAUAGAUAAUGAAUGCUGAGUGAAAAGUCUGGAAUUGUGCUUUGCUCUGAUGAUAGCUGGGUAAAACUAUUGCAUGUGUAUUUUAUUUGUCAGGAGAUUUUCAGUCAUAAGUCUGGGUAAAAAAGUAUUGCAUAUGUAUUUUAUUUGUCAGGACAUUUUCAGUCAAAAGUGGUAGAAAUGCAGCUCAAGCCAGCUUCACCACAAAGUGGGCAUUUACUGGUUUAUGAGGAAGCAAGAGACUGAGCAGCUAAAACUGGCGUUCAAUGACCUCCUACUGCCAGGAUACAAUCAGGACUCACUCUCAAGAUGGGAACUGGCUAUACCGUGGAGGUGGGGUAGAGAAAUCCUUUAGUGUAAGAAAGCUUGUGACAAAGCCUGAGGCCAGAAAAGGUAAAGUGACUGGCCCAGCUCUCACAGGUAUUCAGGGGCACAGCAGUGGUUUGAACCCAGGUUCCCCGUGCUUAACCGUUACAUGACUUCUGCCUCUGCUCGACAGAGCGUGUAAAACCUUCUGAACUGACAGGGUUUCUAAAUCAGGGAUGCCAUUAUUUAAAUUUGACAUUUUAGUACAGAUCUUUUGCUCACAGAUUUCAAAGGAUUUAAAUUGAAAAUUUAUCUUCACACCCGUUAGCAUUCAGCUGCUAUUUAUAGUUUGCUACCAGCAUCUCACUCUCUUUCAAAAGGGGCUGUUUUAUUUUCAUUCAUUCUCCCUACUUUGGGCAAUAUGAAAAACAAAAUGAAUUGUUCUGUCAUGAAAAUUAAUAGCACGAACAUUUGGGUCUUCCUUGAUUCUGUGUUGUAAUUAGCAAUUAAACAUUUAUGUUUUGUCUUGU